AGUGAUUCAAACGUCACGAGUCACGUGACCAAACCACGCCUCGGCACAGUGGCUCGAUACGUUUGCUUCAUGAGCUACAGCGCAUGUGUGGAAGCCUCGGGUAUCAGAGGACCAUCACUAGUCGCGACGUCUGGUAGCAUCUCUGGCUGCUGUUGAUCUUGUUUUUGGAGUAAAACACGGUGGAAGCUGAAUUAGUGAGGAUGACUCCUGCUCCUGUCAUCUCUAAGCUCCUCACACAUCUUUACCUGCACAUGAGGAAAAUCACUCCUGUAGAAUGCAGAUGUUCAGAGGGAGAUGAUGCCACAUCUGGUCCAGCUGAUGGAAGGUCUUGAAGUUCUCUGACUGGCCUCUGACUGAAGAUGGUCGUCUCACUGGAUUUAAAGUUCAGAUGCUCAGUAACAAACUCCACCAAUGAGCCAACAGGGAAGCUUUAGGUUUAUUAAAUGUUACUAUGAAGGUUUCGCUGUUUUUCUUUGUGAAUGCAAUGUGCUCCAACUGAAACUUGAAUUAGAACUUAGAAGUAAAUCCUUCCAUCUGAAAGAAUUAGUUGCAUUAAUAACCUCAUAACAUUCUAAUUUUUAUUCCAGUCUUGGUUGGAAAUAGAAUCUCUGUAGUGAUUCAGGUAAAAAACUGAACUUCACAGGCAUGUUGGAGCAAAACAACCAGAUGAAAACUGUGAUGGUGUUGGAUUGUCAGACCGUAAUGUUGCAGCUCAAAGCAGCUUUUCUAUCUCAGUUCAUUCUGACAUUCAGCUAUGAAUCAACACAGCAGAUGGUGAUCCAUGCUGUGGAAGUCUCACAUCUCCUGAUUUAAUGGAGCUGCUUUGCAC
ensembl:lncRNA